rnacentral:rRNA from 1 species
UAGGGAAUCUUUGGCAAUGGACGGAAGUCUGACCGAGCAACGCCGCGUGAGUGAAGAAGGUUUUCGGAUCGUAAAGCUCUGUUGUAAGAGAAGAACGAGUGUGAGAGUGGANAGUUCACACUGUGACGGUAUCUUACCAGAAAGGGACGGCUAACUACGUGCCAGCAGCCGCGGUAAUACGUAGGUCCCGAGCGUUGUCCGGAUUUAUUGGGCGUAAAGCGAGCGCAGGCGGUUAGAUAAGUCUGAAGUUAAAGGCUGUGGCUUAACCAUAGUACGCUUUGGAAACUGUUUAACUUGAGUGCAAGAGGGGAGAGUGGAAUUCCAUGUGUAGCGGUGAAAUGCGUAGAUAUAUGGAGGAACACCGGUGGCGAAAGCGGCUCUCUGGCUUGUAACUGACGCUGAGGCUCGAAAGCGUGGGGAGCAAACAGGAUUAGAUACCCUGGUAGUCCACGCCGUANCGAUGAGUGCUAGGUGUUAGACCCUUUCCGGGGUUUAGUGCCGCAGCUAACGCAUUAAGCACUCCGCCUGGGGAGUACGACCGCAAGGUUG